UACGUAGGCAGCAAGCGUUGUUCGGAGUUACUGGGCGUAAAGGGUGCGUAGGCGGCCCUGUAAGUAUGGUGUGAAAUCUCCCGGCUUAACUGGGAGGGUGCGCUAUAGACUGCGGGGCUCGAGUGUGGGAGAGGAAAGUGGAAUUCCUGGUGUAGCGGUGAAAUGCGUAGAUAUCAGGAGGAACACCGGUGGUGUAAACGGCUUUCUGGACCAUAAACUGACGCUGAGGCACGAAAGCGUGGGUAGCAAACAGG
rnacentral:rRNA from 1 species